AGUCAUGACUCAUGUUAAGCCUUCGUCCACCUUUCUGUAACACCUGGCAUCAGAGCUUCAUCUCCCUUCACCUUUGAUUCUGUUUUUCGCUUCUAACACGUUCCUUGAUUUUGCGUGUUCCCCUUUCUCGCCUCUUAUUUAGUCUUGCUUUACUCUGUAUUCUGCCAGUGGUACCCUGAGGUCCGUCACUAAGCUGGAUCUGAGGGAUGAAAAGGAUACCAUUGAGAAACUGAAGGACAAGAAGCUGGCGCCUAUCACCUAUCUGUGGAUAGGGCCUAGCUCUGGCUAAGAAGAUAGAUGCAGUUAAAUACCUGGAGUGCUCAGCCUUGACCCAGUGUGAUCUGAAGACUGUGUUUGAUGAGGCCAUUCGUGCUGUCCUCUGCCCUCAGCCCGCCAAGGUCAAGAAGAAGCCCUGCUCGCUGCUGUAAACGACUCUCACAGGAGCACAGAAGAAGAGAAAAGGACUGCAGACCCUGAAGAAUAUAUGCAAAUUCUGCCAUGUCUCUAAUGUAUAUCUACAACUUUAAACAAAACAAAAAACAAAAAAAUGUAUGUAUUGCUAUUGUUUUAGAGAUGCCAACAAGCUCUUAAGUCCAAAUCCAGAUGCUGCACCAGACAGUUUCUUUGUAAAAUAUACCAGUUUAGAGAUUAUAGAUUUACCCUUUGAGUUUAAGUCUGAGAGCAGCAUGCUGCCUUCAUCUAAAGUACUGCCAACAAUAUAUAUGUGUUUUGUGAAACCUAAA
ensembl:lncRNA